AGUGAACGCUGGCGGUAGGCCUAACACAUGCAAGUCGAACGGCAGCACAGUAAGAGCUUGCCCUUACGGGUGGCGAGUGGCGGACGGGUGAGGAAUAUAUCGGAAUCUACUUUUUCGUGGGGGAUAACGUAGGGAAACUUACGCUAAUACCGCAUACGACCUACGGGUGAAAGCAGGGGAUCUUUGGACCUUGCGCGAUUGAAUGAGCCGAUGUCGGAUUAGCUAGUUGGCGGGGUAAAGGCCCACCAAGGCGACGAUCCGUAGCUGGUCUGAGAGGAUGAUCAGCCACACUGGAACUGAGACACGGUCCAGACUCCUACGGGAGGCAGCAGUGGGGAAUAUUGGACAAUGGGCGCAAGCCUGAUCCAGCCAUACCGCGUGGGUGAAGAAGGCCUUCGGGUUGUAAAGCCCUUUUGUUGGGAAAGAAAAGCAGCAGGUUAAUACCCCGCUGUUCUGACGGUACCCAAAGAAUAAGCACCGGCUAACUUCGUG
rnacentral:rRNA from 1 species